CUUCUUGCCUCCUUUGUAGGUGUCUUCCCAGCAGCAGGAGCACAGGUUUCUGCACCGGAGAGAGAAGAGCUUCAGCUAAAGAAGGAUGCUUCAUGUCAAACCGACCUUCAAGGCGACAGACAGGCCGCAGUAAGGUCUCCCCAGAGCUCGCUUUUCCCCAGGCUGAACAACCCCAACUCUCUCAGCCUUUCUUCACGGGAGAGGUGUUCCAGCCCUCUGAUCAUUGUUGUGGCCCUCCUCUGGACCUGCUUGAGCAGGUCCAUGUCCUCCUUGUGCUGGGGACCCCAGAGCUGGAUGCAUUACUCCAGGUGGGGUCUCAUGAGAGCAGAGUAGACGGGCAGAAUCACCUCCCUCGACCUGCUGGCCACCCUGAAGGCCGAGCUAAUGAUAUCAUCCCAUGAGUAAAAGCAUCUCUCGUGUUGUCAUCUUCUCACUGAUUUCUCCAUGCUCAUGGAACACCAUUUCUUUAGACAUGGGUCAAGCAGCCGUGGCAGGAGCUCGCCAACCCUCUCAAAAGGAGCUCCCUCACAGAAGCUUCACCUGAAGCUGUGAAGUGCUACAGCGUGUACCUGCAGGAACAGAAACUGCAGUUGCAGAAGAAACUGUACCGUUCCAAAGCUAAGGUAUGGAGAAAGCCUGUCUCUUGUCUCUUGGCAGGGGCCCAGGCCUUUUUUGUAGCAAACCAGAGCGGGGACCUGAUCCUUUCUUGGG